UACACAAUGAAUAAAAUUAAUUUAUGUGAUUAAGAAGCCUUAUAGUCACUAAUUAACUUAAUUUCAUUGGACUUUAUCGAGGAUAAGCUCGAUAAUUGCUGUUGAGGAUUAUAUAAAUUAAAAAUUAUUGUGUAGGCCUAAAAUUAGCCAUCAUUAAGAGUUUGUUAUAAAAUAAUAGAAAUACAUAAAAAUAUUUAUAUAUAUAUAUACCACAUAAAAUUAUAAGAACAAUAAUCUAAAUUAAGAGAUUAAUAUGCCUAUGCUAGGAUGAGUAUUAUUAAUUAUUUAAGUUGAAAAAUAGAUAUUUCCUGAAAAAAUAUUUUUAAUAUAAAUUAAAGAGAAGGAAUUCAGCAAAUUAUUAUUCCGCCUGUUUAUCAAAAACAUGGCUCUUUGAGGAAAUAAUAUAUAAAGAGUCGAACCUGCCCAGUGAAUAGUUUAACGGCCGCGGUACCCUGACCGUGCAAAGGUAGCAUAAUCAUUUGCCUUAUAAUUGAAGGCUGGCAUGAAUGGUCUGACGAGAGUAAUACUGUCUCCUCUUUAUUAUUUAGAAAUUAACUUAUAGGUGAAGAGGCCUAUAUUAUAUUGAAGGACAAGAAGACCCUGUCGAGCUUUAAAGUAAAACAGUGGGAGUUAGUUAUUAAAAAAAUCAAUAUGCUACUAUAACUUUUUAGUUGGGGCGACUAAGGAACAAAUAAAGCUUCUUUUUAUUUUUAUAAAUUUACAAAUUUA
rnacentral:rRNA from 1 species